GCUGUACGCUGGUACAAUGGGUAUGGGUCCGGGCUUCGCUGCGCAGGUGGUAGCUGCAUGAGCGCCAAAGCAGGAGGCGCUUCAGGUGCAGCACCGGGCCAGUCUGGGAAGACUGCAGACACAAAGGCAUCCGCUGCGGUAAUGGACCACAAUUCAG
rnacentral:SRP_RNA from 16 species